CCUACGGGAGGCAGCAGUGGGGAAUAUUGGACCAUGGGGGCAACCCUGAUCCAGCCAUGCCGCGUGUGUGAAGAAGGCCCUCGGGUUGUAAAGCACUUUCAGUGAGGAAGAACGCCUGGUGGUUAAUACCCAUCAGGAAAGACAUCACUCACAGAAGAAGCACCGGCUAACUCCGUGCCAGCAGCCGCGGUAAUACGGAGGGUGCGAGCGUUAAUCGGAAUUACUGGGCGUAAAGCGCGCGUAGGUGGCUUGAUAAGCCGGUUGUGAAAGCCCCGGGCUCAACCUGGGAACGGCAUCCGGAACUGUCAAGCUAGAGUGCAGGAGAGGAAGGUAGAAUUCCCGGUGUAGCGGUGAAAUGCGUAGAGAUCGGGAGGAAUACCAGUGGCGAAGGCGGCCUUCUGGACUGAAACUGACACUGAGGUGCGAAAGCGUGGGUAGCAAACAGGAUUAGAUACCCUAGUAGUC
rnacentral:rRNA from 1 species